GACAUAUUUUUAUCGCAAAGCAAUCGCACACGAGCGUUGCAGUGAAUGGAACGUUGUUUUUGUUUCAAAUGAUGAUUCAAAUAAUCGUGCCCAGAGAGUGAAACAUUUUCAUGAGAGCCAGAGAGUAAAAACGAUGUGACAUUCGGAUACUUGUUGUUUUUGUUGUUUUUUCCUACUCAGACCGUUUUUUGGUGGUUGAAAAAUUCCUUUGUUCUCUUUUAUAUUGUCCGCCGAAGCGAGCAGACACGUGGUCAAAGUGAUGGGAUUUGUUAAAAUUUGGAUUUCUAUAGAGAGGUCAAUGGUAACAAACGCAAUGAGGUAACAAGAUCUGAAGCCCAAAUGCAGAUAAUAUGCAUACAGUAACCCAAAAUCAAGAUGAUCCAAUAUCUGGCGGCAAUAUAAUUAGAAAUGGAAAUUUCGAUAUGGCUUAUGGUCGCUUACUAUUUGUGAGAACUUUAUUGGAUUUUGAAUAAAAAAAUUGAUUGAAA